UCGGGUGUGGUGCACGGUGCACGGCGGCUAAUACUAGGUGUGUGAGUGCUCCAGUCUGAUGUAAGCCGCAGACCGGGGUUCGACUCCCCGCGCCCGAA